rnacentral:rRNA from 1 species
GUGACUCCGGUAGUCUAUGAUGCGCGUCGAACGGUCCGUAGCAAUACUGAUAGUGGCGCACGGGUGCGUAACGCGUAACCAACCUACCCGGAACUGGGGGAUAGCCCGCCGAAAGGCGGAUUAAUACCGCAUAAAACUAUGGGGCGGCAUCGGCUCUUGGUUAAAGAUUUAUUGGAUUUGGAUGGGGUUGCGUGCCAUUAGCUGGUUGGGGGGGUAACGGCCCACCAAGGCGACGAUGGCUAGGGGAGCUGAGAGGCUGGUCCCCCACACGGGCACUGAGAUACGGGCCCGACUCCUACGGGAGGCAGCAGUAGGGAAUAUUGGGCAAUGGCCGAGAGGCUGACCCAGCCAUGCCGCGUGCCGGACGAAGGCCUUCUGGGUCGUAAACGGCUUUUGCCCGGGAAGAAUAAGGGCUGUGCGCAGCCCGACGACGGUACCGGGUGAAUAAGCACCGGCUAACUCCGUGCCAGCAGCCGCGGUAAUACGGAGGGUGCAAGCGUUGUCCGGAUUUAUUGGGUUUAAAGGGUGCGUAGGCGGCUUCUUAAGUCCGGGGUGAAAGCCCGUUGCUCAACAACGGAACUGCCCCGGAAACUGGGGAGCUUGAGUCCAGACGAGGUUGGCGGAAUGGAGGCUGUAGCGGUGAAAUGCA